AUUGAACGCUGGCGGCAGGCCUAACACAUGCAAGUCGAGCGAGCGGCGGACGGGUGAGUAAUGUCUGGGAAUCUGCCUGAUAGAGGGGGAUAACUACUGGAAACGGUAGCUAAUACCGCAUACUAUCGGAUGUACCCAGAUGGGAUUAGCUAGUUGGGGGGGUAAAGGCCUACCAAGGCGACGAUCCCUACCUGGUCUGAGAGGAUGAUCAGUCACACUGGAACUGAGACACGGUCCAGACUCCUACGGUAGGCAGCAGUGGGGAAUAUUGCACAAUGGGCGCAAGCCUGAUGCAGCCAUGCCGCGUGUAUGAAGAAGGCCUUAGGGUUGUAAAGUACUUUCAGCGGGGAGGCGUUACCCGCAGAAGAAGCACCGGCUAACUCCGUGCCAGCCGCCGCGGUAAUUC
rnacentral:rRNA from 1 species